UUUUUUUUUUUUUUUUUAAAUUUUCAGAGGAAUAGGCCAGACAUACAGCAAGAAAAAGUGAUACUUGGUUCUUUUGUAUUGAUACUUGGUGUCUGAUUCUCUGUCUUCAGGCAGAAAAAGUACAUGAAUUAAAUGAAGAAAUAGGAAAACUUCUUGCUAAAGCUGAGCAGUUAGGAGCUGAAGGAAAUGUGGAUGAAUCCCAGAAGAUUCUUAUGGAAGUGGAGAAGGUUCGCUCAAAGAAAAAAGAAGCAGAGGAAGAAUACAGAAAUUCCAUGCCUGCAUCCAGUUUUCAACAGCAAAAACUCCGUGUUUGCGAGGUUUGUUCAGCUUAUCUUGGUCUCCAUGACAAUGACCGUCGUCUUGCAGACCACUUCGGAGGCAAAUUACACUUGGGGUUCAUUCAGAUCCGAGAGAAGCUUGAU
rnacentral:lncRNA from 1 species